AUUUUUCACUCUCCCGUUUUGGCGCGUAAAAGACUUCUCUUAAUUAAUCAUUUAUUACAGUGAACGGAUAAUAAUAUACUGGUUUAUAUUAUUAACUUAAAAAUUAUUACUUUAUUACGUUUAAUGGAAACCGCGGAUUGGUGAGGGGUAACUUGCGAUGCAAAAACCAUCGAUGUUGGAGAGUCUGCGUUUUGUGGCUGGCCGCCUCAAAGCUGUUGAGGCGUUUUUUUCUUUAUAGAAACUGCAAAAGGAAAUAUUCGGUUAUGUGCGGUUAAUUUUUUGAGAAAAGCAAAAUAGGCAUCAGAAGGAUGUUGGAUCUAUUGUAUGCCUGGGCGUGUAAAAUGUCAACGAGCACUGCACAUGACUAUUUUGGGGUAACAAGAGUCAGUCCUAUUCAAUAUUUCUGGUUUUUUCAGGAUAUUUGUUCCUGGAACUGGUUGCUAAUAUCGGACGAAUUUCAAUUAGGUAUAGGUAUUAACACGCAAAUCAUGGGUGGUAGCAUCGUGUGAAUUCCAAUGUGCCUAUAUACCCGUGUGAAUGACACGGGUCUGUGUGGUUGGCGAAAGAUUAUGCGUAUUGGCGCACGUGUGGAGGAGUGGGAUUUCAAAAAGGGAUUGGAAGACCGCACCUGCAUGUCAAGCGUUACUUUUGUCUAAUUUAGAAUUGCUAUAGGAGGUCCUGAACGCAUAUUCGUAUGUAGAUGCAAAUCACCACAUUAUCCCGAUCGGUCAAGUCGAACUGCAACUCGUAUGCCAGAAACGUAUUUGAAUAAAAAUUUCUUACACGUCUCCUACAUACGCAUUAUAAGUAACGUUUAUUUUAUUAACGUUAAUUGCUAACCAAGCAUAAGAGAGCAUCUUCUUGUUGUGCGUCUAUGUCGGACGGUAAGCACACGCAUUAUUUUCAUGCUUGAAUAUGUCUGAAAUUAGAUUUAAUUGAUUUCUGACGAAUUAUGAUUGGAAAGACGUAAGAUGUAAGUGGAAGUUAGCCACAGCUUUGUCUUUACCUUUUUUGAUAGUUUUCAAAGUUUGACAGUAUAACAAAUGCUUUCCUAUAAGAAGUUUUUCACGCUACCUAUAAGUAAUAUUUAAAUAAUGUCUAAAAUUGUUAGGAAUUGACAAUCUCUAAGUAUACAUACAUACUUAGAGUUUGUCAGUUUGUCAAGUUUGACGCUAUAGCCGAAUUAAACGUCAUUUUGGCACUAAAGAGAGUAAUGUUGAUAAUUGAAGAUCACGUUGACUAUUCUUUCACUCUGAUUUGGUCAUUGUGAGUAAUUGGGAUUUUGAUUAUAUCAGAAUAAAUAAAUUAUAUCAAUAUUCUUUCCACAGAAUUUACAUUUAAGUCUUACGGGACUUGUGCUAUUGGUCCUAUUUAGUAAAUAUUUAGAAUUCACAAUUUCUCUUUUCACGAAAAUUAACAGGUUGACUGCCAAGCGGUCAUAUAUGAUCGCUCUUACCUAUAUCGCAGAGUGAAGAGCGGUCAUAUAUGCCCCCCGAAAUGACCGGAGCCUUCGUUGCCAGCGGGCAUGAGUUAGCAUGUAUUUUAUGAUGAACUGUGGCCGCUCUGGCCUCGGAUUCUAGGGUAAUGUAUGGAGUUUUUGCAUACAGUUUGCAAUUUGGAUUUUUAAAUGGCGGUCAUGUCUGCUAUAUUUAAUACGAUUGAAUGACCGCUGUGGCACAGAAGAUAAGUAUAUUUCAGAAAUAAUACAAUAAGGUUGAAAAAGUUAUAGUGUUUAUAUUUUCAACAGAGAAACUUACAAAAAUUUACAUUUAUUACUUUUGAUGAACAAUAUCGAAACAUGAGAAAUAAUAGUGGGGCUGGUUUUCACAGUUUGGGCAGAACUUUGGCACCUUCUUCACUUUAUUUUUUCCAUUGGGACCUGGUGCCUUAUUUUCAUAGCACCUCUUGCAAUACUUUCUUGUUUUUGCAACUGGACCCUCCUUUCUUGAUAGGCUAUGCCCUUUCAUCGACCUGGUAUUCGUAUAUUUUUCUUCUUCGAGGCUUUCUAGAUUCUGUUUCUAAUAAUUUUCUUAUUACCGACUCCCUGAAUUCUGUUAUUUUUAUUUUUUUUAUCUGCUAAGCUGUUGUAGAUAAGAUGUGCGUUUACCAUUGACGUACCCAUUAUAAAUUCUACAAGUUUACGGUACCAUUUUAUUGACUUUUGUAGUGCGCAGUUCCAUAACUAGUCAUUUGAUCGCUUUAGAUUUGCUUAUAGAGGAUUUGCCUUAAUUGUACUCAAGCACGGCUCGCGGUUUCAUUACUGUACCAUUCCUCCUUUGCACAGUUAUUGUCUCUGUUGCAUGUUUUGUUGGCAGCAUAAGUACGUCCCUUUUAUCACGCCAUUUCAAUACACAUAUGCCCCGUUCAUUUUCCAAUCCAAAAAUUUCACCUUUCUUUAGCCUUUUCUCAAUUACUUCUUGAGGAUUACCUCUACGCCUUGCUCUCAGAGUUCCUACAUAAUGAGUUUUAUUUUUAAGUAAUACGUUUGCCAGUUCUAAACUCGUGUAGUAAUUGUCAGCAAUUAGAGUGCGCCCUGAAUUUAAAAGAUUUUGGCUCAAAUUUAUUACAAUAUUUGUGGCCAUUGAACCAUUACCUCUGGUUUCUUGCUCUUUCCCUACGUAAAUUCGUACAUUCCAUGUACACCCGUUUCCACUGCACAGUUUGAACAAUUUGAUACCAUACUUGUGGGUUUUCUGUGGUAUGUAUUGUCUAAAAAUCAACCUACCUUGAAAUGGAACAAUCGAUUCAUCGAUACAGAAAGUAUGUCCAGGAGUAAAUAUCUCUUGGUACUUCAGAAUUAGUUUGUCUAAAAGGGGUUUGAUUUUAUGCAAUCUAUCGCCAGGUGGACAGGUAGAAUUAUCCGAAAAAUGCCAUAUUUUUAGUAGUAUUUGGAACCUAUUCCUUGGCAUUAUGGAGGGAACACAAUAGUUCUUAUAAAGUUUAUCUUUGGACCAAUAGUUCGAAAUCUGCGGUUUUUUUACGUCCCAUGUAACCAAUAAUACCAAUAAAUUUGAGAAUUUCAUGACAGUCAGUAGGCACCCAGCCACGUAGUCUUGAACCAGAAGUUACAUGCCCUGCUUCUGUUAGUACUUGGGUAGCAUACAGAUUGGUUUGGUCUGUCAUUUCCUGUAUAACAUCCCUAUCCAAAAAAAAUGUGAAGCAUUUAUAAGGCGUUUAUGAGUGCCGCGAUAUAAUUUGGAGCAAUUCCAAAUUCACUAGUCAUUGGAAAAUAUUCGUGCCUACCAAUUGGUUCCGACCAGGUAUGAGAGGGCGGAUCGCUUCUAAAGUGUUCAUUACUAGGAACCAGGUCUGAUGGGUCAAAUUCAGUCUCCACGAUAUUCUCAGAUUCAUCCAGGACAUGACUCUCUUUUAAAUUAUUCGAACAAUUUUCACGUGAGUUAUCAUUACUGGGAUUGUCCUUGCUACAACCAGCCACAGCUAAAUCAAUUUUACGCCUUUUCGGUACAUGUAUGUCCAUUCCGGAUUCAUCAGAAGAUGACUCAUAUUCAUCACUUGAUGGUAAAAACGCUGGAUCGACGAUUGAGUCGUCUUCGUCUUCACUACUGAUAUUGCUUUCAAGAAAAAAAAUAUUUAGAAGUGGUUAUAUGUCUUGGAACAAGUAAGUAAAUGAUAAUGUUUGCAGCUUAGAAAUAAAUCUACCUAGUUUGGCAUUCAAGGCUAAACUCAAAAUUCGUUUGCUGCGACUAGACAUAGCUGCACUCUUUGUACGUACUUGUCGAAAAUCGAGAAAGAACUAAAUGUUUCUAUUCCAUUCGUACGUAACACAUGGCCCGCCGCCGUCAACUGUAUUCAUACGUGAUCAACAGUUGACCAGUUGUACUUUCACCUCCAUUUAUCACUUUACCACGCUACAAAACAUACUGGGUUACAGUCGAACAAGAAACGUUCGCAUGGUUCCUGGAAAUAUUUACUUUUUGUCGCGAUGGCCGAUGCGAUGCUCGCUUGGCCACAGCGGCAGACUUGUUCCUACAGUGCCGGGCGGCCAUAUAUGACCGCUAUUUUUUUUAUUUAUUCUUAAAGAAAAAUAAUUAUUGAAACGUUUUGAUAUCGUUUUCUUAAUUUAUAUGCAAUGGUUGUCCGGAAAUGGGUUUUGGCACCUAGGGAAACUUUUGGUGAUAAUCCUCGGCAGUCAACCUGUAUCAAAUUUACGUUAUUUUAAAAGAUAUGACGUCUAAGAAUCACGUGACGUUCGAUUGUAAUACAUUUAUAUUUAUUAGCUUUACUUGUAUUUAGGUAUCUGAAGACCUAAUUAAUACGACUUCCAGAACUAACCAUUGAAAGACUAGAUAAAAAUGCAUUAGAACGAAUAUUUCUUCAGCUACAAGAUACUCAAGUAACAUAAUCUAUUUUGGAAAGCACCUUAUUACCAUCAAGUACAGAGCCAUAUAAAAACAGAAUAUCAUCUAACAAUGGAACACUAGACACAACCUAUUGUGUUUUUGCCGCUAGAAAAAUUGCAGAAUAAAAAGCUAGGUGCUUAACAUUUUCUACUGAUAUAAUCGCUGAGGUCGAAUAAAAUCCUGCAUAAUUUUUUCUGGUUACAAUAUCGUUCUUAAAUAAUUUAGAUAAAUAUGCAAAUACCGCCUUCUGAUUGAUCAAUAGUGAAAUACAUAGUACGUUCCGAUACAAAUGCAUUUCUUCCAAAAAUAAUAUUUUUGCUCAACCAACUCGUCGUAGAGAAAAGCAAAAACCUAUUCAACCAACAUCAGCAGCAAGAAGAAGAAUGGAAGGAAAAAGUAGAUUGGCCUUUGGCUAUACUUCGUCUAUCUACAUAAUUUAUAGGGUACAAAUAAAGCCAUUAUUUAUUUAUUUAAAAAUACGUUUUCUGGAAAAUCUUUUGACAACAAUGGAAAAAAAAGCCCUAGAAUUAUUAAAAAUGUGUGUAGAAAAAAAACGUCGGACUUGAAGAAAAUAAGUCCAAAAAAUAACAAUAUAUUUGUUUUGACAAUAUUUUGUUAUUUUUAUUAUUUUUUUAAAAAUAAUAAUCAGUAACGUCAAUAAAUCUAUGUUUUCUUUUUAUUCUACGAUAAUGUCAAACAUUUUUUAAAAAGCUAUAAACCUAAUAACAUUCAUUUAAAUGACACGUAUGUACGAGACGUGUAAGCAAUUUUCAUUCUAAUACUUUUCUUACAUAAGAGCUUGAGCUCGGCUGAACGCGAUCGAGAUAACGUGGAGAAUUGCGUCCGCUACAUACGAAUAUAUUAUGUCCUGGACAAAUCGUCCAAAUAGAUGAAUCGGUGGUUUCAAAUACCACAGGCGUCGCUU